GCAAUGCAGUUGGAUCUGCUGGCACAAUGUGGCAUAGGUUAGUGCUUGCUCCCACAUGGCUUGAAAUUGGCAUUGAUAUCUAGAUUUUUCAGCCCUUUAGAAACACCAUCCGACUCGCUGGAAAUGUACUGACAGGCGAGCUUUCUGGGAGAAACAUUGUGCGCAUUAUACUGAACUUCAUUCACCAGGUAGAGAGAUAGCAGAAAGGUAUGCCGAUCAACGAUCUUGUGGGUCCCCAAUGACAAAAAUGAUGGGUCUUCGGAAAGAAUUCUAGAGAUAAGUCGACGUGUGUUAAAAAUUGAGGAGUUUGGCACAAGGAUGGAAGAAGAUGGGAGCAUCUGUACUAUGGUAGUAUGGUCUAUAUUAGAUUAUGCAAUACUCCAAUACAAGAAUGGGAGAAGAUGUGAACUCUGGUUCUCUGAAUUAUUAGUCACCAGCAACAACAUUACAAUGAAAUAGUACAACAAGCUUUUAGGCAUUGGCUAACCUUUUCUGCUCCAUGCAAUGGUAAUGGAAAAAUCACAGUUGCAAGCUAAGAAUUAACCGGACAAUAUGAAUAUACAUAUAUGAAAUUUGCGAUUCUUCUUUA